AGAUCAUGACCUGAGCCGAAGGCAGAUGCUUCACCAACUGAGCCACUCAGAGACAAGCCUCAAACGUCCCGGCAGUGCAGGCUGAGGGAACCUCACAGGAGAAUCUAAACCCACACCAACAACAACGGUCAAACUGGAAGCCGCUGUGGGUCCCGUCAGCCCUGCUCAGGAAGGCGCGGCGUUCUCACACUCGGUGGCCUUCUCUGUGAAGUUGUGUGUCUCCACUGCAAGCUGCUGUUCACACUCAGCACCCAGAGCCAGCCUGCCUCCUCUGAGC